rnacentral:lncRNA from 1 species
ACUACUGCUGCGAGUUGUGAUAUUUAUAUCUGACAGUGCUACAGAAUCAUAAAGUGGAGAAAUUUAUUAUAAAAGAACUUCACAGUUCUUGUAAGUGAAACUGAUCUGCAUAACAAAAAACCAAGCACAGAUAUGCAAACUGAUUUCCAAAAAUCUAGCAUGCCUCUCAUCUAUACCAAUCUGCAAUUUAAUUUGGCUUGGAAGGCAUUGGGAAAUCAGGCUAUCCAUGUUGAGCAUAAAGUUCCAUUAGUCUGAUGAGAAAGGCACCCCACCAGGCACAGUUUAUCUAAACAAUAGGUAGAAGAAUGUUGCAUGGGAAAUACUAUAUAAGAAUCUCCCAUGUCUAUGCUUGAUAUAGGCUUUUUCACAAGCCUGGAAGAGAUCAUUCUAUCUGAUGCCAUGCUGAGGCCUUCUAAGCUUCAGCUCAUCUGCAACUAGAGCUACUCAGCGGACCCGUUAUAUCAAAGCAAAGGUGCAAAAACAUGGUGCAUCAAAAAAGAUCCAUUGGAGUGUGAUGCAUACGAAAGAAGCUCCAUUGGAAAAUAGUAGAGGCUGGCCACUCCAUGACGAUGCUCUUAUGCAUACUGUUGUUGUAUCAAGUUUUCUAGUAAUUUGUAUGCUCUGUCUCUGACAUUAACCGAAGAGGCAAAAUUUCAGUGCACUCCCAUGUGUAACAAGGGCCGUGCUGCCUGCACAUUAGGGUAGUAAGAGCAAGAGGGCCAGCUCCUUUUGAGUAUUGAUCUGCUUGGCUGAGUUUUCUUAGUCAAAAGCCAUGCAACAGAGUAUCUGAUUGAGGAACCGGUUUGGAGAUCUUUUACAAAUGGAAAAGAUAGCACGGUUAGAGAAGUU